rnacentral:tRNA from 1 species
GGUGGCUCAGUGGUAGAGUGCUUGCCUUGCAUGCAUGAGGACCUGGGUUCGAUUCCUGAGCACCA